rnacentral:rRNA from 1 species
CCUACGGGUGGCAGCAGUGAGGAAUAUUGGUCAAUGGGCGUAAGCCUGAACCAGCCAAGUCGCGUGAGGGAUGACGGCUCUAUGGGUCGUAAACCUCUUUUAUAUGGGAAUAAAGUGCAGGACGUAUCCUGUUUUGCAUGUACCUUAUGAAUAAGGAUCGGCUAACUCCGUGCCAGCAGCCGCGGUAAUACGGAGGAUCCGAGCGUUAUCCGGAUUUAUUGGGUUUAAAGGGUGCGUAGGCGGCCUUUUAAGUCAGUGGUGAAAGUCUGUGGCUCAACCGUAGAAUUGCCGUUGAAACUGGGAGGCUUGAGUACGUUAGAGGUAGGCGGAAUGCGUGGUGUAGCGGUGAAAUGCUUAGAUAUCACGCAGAACCCCGAUUGCGAAGGCAGCCCGCCGAGCCACGACUGACGCUGAUGCACGAAAGUGUGGGGAUCAAACAGGAUUAGAUACCCCAGUAGUC